rnacentral:rRNA from 1 species
GUCCACAGCCCUAUCACCCUGAAUGCGCCCAAUCUCGUCUCAUCUUGGAAACUAAGCAGGGUGGGUCGGGCCUGGUUAGUACUUGGAUGGGCAGACUUAUGUAAAUUGAUGUUAAGACC